AGCUCGGGGUCUCAGUGGCGCAGACAUUUUGAAGCGUGGAUCCUGGAGCUGCUCAGCUCAGAUCUUCUGCAGACCAUCAGUUUUCCUGAAUCCUGAAGUUCUUAGACUCUGAUUGGAGCGCUGAGAGGAUUCCCAGGACGAGAUCUUUGCUCUCUGAUACGACAGUGAAGAGCUUUAACCUGAGCAGAGUCUCCCUGACCAGAAGGUCAGAGGUCGAGCUGCUCAUCAGCCUGUGCAGAGGAAACUGCAGGAAAUGGCCUCACGUCCAAUAAAGAGAGACAGCAAAGAGCUGUCUCCUGAUUUUUCUGAAUUAAUGAAGAAACUUCUAGAACAAGCAGCUUCAUUCAUCCAACAGUUUGACAGCAGUGAACCAGAGAUGAGAAAGAUUGUAGAAGAGUUUCAGCAGCUUUCUAGAAAAAUCAAAAGAAUGCAGAAGGUGACAGAUAUCACAAGAACAGCAGGAGCUGUUGUUGGAGGAGUAGGAGUAGGAGUAGGAUUCUUGAUAGUCAUGGCUCCACUCACUGGAGGACUGAGUUUGCUUCCUGCUGGUGCAGCUGCUGCAGCUGCUACUGCUGCUGUAGGUGGAGCUGUUGUUGUUGGAGCCAAUAUAAAAAAACUUCUGUCUGAGAAAGGAGGUGCAGAGAAAGUAGAAAAAUGGGGAGAAGAAUUCAUUGCUUUAGUUGAACCAAUGAAGGAGAACCUGGAGAAGAUAAAGAUGACAUGUGAAAGUCUGGAGGAGAAAGCAGCUGAAACUCAGGCUGAAAACACUCAGGCUGACCUGGAGAAGUUUCAGAGGAUAUUCAAACAAGUUUCUGAGAUGAAGGAAAAAAGUAAAGGAGCUGUGAUUGAAUCUUUAUCAGUGCUGGAGAAGAUGGGUGAGAUAGGCAUGCUCAUUCUCAGUGUGAUCAGAGUCACUUCGACCCCUAAAGAAGAUGAAAAGUUAGGAAACACCAUCAGUCAGCUGGUCAGUGUGAGAAGGUUGUUAAUGAGUUUAAUGUGAUGAAGAACAAACUGAGAGAGUUUAGAGGACAUUAAAGAGAGUGACUACGUCACCUCCAUCCCUCCUCCUCUCCCACCUUCUACUUCCUGUGUCUGUGGACCUGCUGCAGUCAGAGGGACGUGAACUUCAUCAUCAUGGAGGUGAUGUUUCCUGUGUGUCUGUAAUCACAGCUACACCUGGACUCGAGUCUAACUGAUCACUCAGCUGUUCAUGUCCAGAAGAGCAGAAUCCACCAAUGAAUGCAGGACCAUCAGAGAGAGCUGCUCCUCCCUCCAGGUUCUCUGCUGAUCUCAGAGCAGCUUAAACAUGUGAUCAUUUCAUUGUUCCUGCAUUUUAUUAGUUAUGUAUUUACUGAUGCUGUAGUUUGUGUGUUACACUAAGAAGUACUGAGCAGGUUCAGCGUGCUUCAGUUUCUUUGCAGAACUCUGUUUAUUCAGCAGUUUGAUGUUGUAAAUAUUUGUUUCUCAGAUUAUUAUUAUUUCCUGUGGGAAGGAUGUUUCAUUUCAGCAGUUUGUCAGGUCCUUUCUCCAUGAAUUACCUGUGGUAACCAAGUCAUAGUAAAUAUAUAUAUCAAACAUGUUAUUAAUACUGGUGUAAACAUGUAAUCCUGUGUCUUGUCUGAAUCUGUUUGUUUUUAAUUCUCAGUGAUUUCUCUGAGUAAAUAUUGAUCGAUGACUCGGAGCAGUCGGGUAGGUCACUGCUCCUCCUGAUGAAGAUUAUUUGUACUUUAAUCACCUUAAAGCUCUGAUCACAGCUGCUUUAACCUGCAGGAGGGUCCUGCUGUCCUCCUGAGAACCCCCACACUACAGAAAUGACCUGUCUUUACAAAAAUGUGUGUAUGUGCUCAUGUGUGUGGGAGCUGGUGUGUAACAGUGCCACCUUGUGGUCAGAGGGGAUAUUUAUGGAAGCUUGAUUCCAGAACUGAAGAGAAAAUAUGGAAACCAGCUCGUUUAAAGGUUUCAUGAUCAAUAACAGUCUGUGCCUUUGUGGGCACAGACUGUUAUUGAUCACAACUGUCUGCUCUUCAUAACUCACCUGUUUAUAUUUAGGCUUGAACUUUGAAUCAUCAGGAUGGGGUCUCUGACAGGUGGAGUAAAUGAACAGGAUGUGAUUAGCAUUAAUGUGGUUCAUGCUCAGGUUGGUUCUCUGGGGCUGGGCUCAGUGUGGCUGCGGUACGUUUUUCCUCUUAACACUGAUGCACGUGUUUGAUCUGUAACAGUUCAGAGAUGAUCCUGAAUCAUUUUAAUGUUCUCUGUGAGGACAGACAGCAGCGCACACUCAGCACACACGCUGACGGGAAAGAGAAAUACAAUCAUUAUUGUUUCAGUUCCAUAAACAGAAUUUAUUCUGCUUGUUUCUCACUUUUAAUUUUGUGCCUCUCGCUAGAGGAGCUUUGCAUGAGUCAGUCUUUAUCACACUAGCUGCUUCUGCAGCCUGAAACAAGCUGUUCCUCUUAUUCCUCGAGGCCUUUAUUUUUGUAGGAACGAGUAUGGAAGUCAAACUGUUUCCACCUUUGAAGUAAACAUUUAUAACUUCAUGUGUUAUUCUAACAGUGAGGGACAGACAGCAGCAGCAGCUGUAUUGGCUCCACUGGUGUACAGAUACACAUACACUACCUACCUGUGCAGGUAUAAUCAAUAAAGAUUCUGAUGACAGGAAUUG